AAUUACCUGCAAUUCUUAGAACCUCCAAUCUGCGAUAAUGAAAUUUGUUUUCUUCUUGCUGUUGGCCAUGGCUGUCUUCAUGUGCUAUGCAGAUAAUAGCGAUGCGAAUAGUGAUAAUGAGAGUGAUAGAAGUGAGAGCGAAGAAAGCAGUAGAAGUGGAAGCGAGAGUUACGAAAGGGAUAGUGACGAAGACAGCGAUGAACGCAAACGUUAAUGAAUGUUCGAAAAAAUCGAAAAUAGCCUGUGUUCAUCUCCCUGAUGUACAUUGGAUAAACAUGGAAAAUAAAAUUUUUUAAAAGCAGA
rnacentral:lncRNA from 1 species